UACGAAGGGAGCAAGUGUUGUUCGGAAUGAUUGGGCGUAAAGGGUGCGUAGGCUGCUUUGUAAGUGAGGUGUGAAAGCCUUGGGCUCAACCCAGGAAGUGCGCUUCAUACUGCAAGGCUGGAGUUCGAUAGAGGAAACGGGAAUUCCUAGUGUAGAGGUGAAAUUCACAGAUAUUAGGAGGAACACCAAAGGCGAAGGCAAGUUUCUGGGUCGAUACUGACGCUGAGGCACGAAAGCGUGGGGAGCAAACAGG
rnacentral:rRNA from 1 species